rnacentral:rRNA from 1 species
AGAGUUUUGAUCCUGGCUCAGGAUGAACGCUGGCGGCGUGCCUAAUACAUGCAAGUCGAGCGAACAGAUAAGAGCUUGCUCCUUUGAAGUUAGCGGCGGACGGGUGAGUAACACUGGGUAACCUACCUAUAAGACUGGGAUAACUUCGGGAAACCGGAGCUAAUACCGGAUAACAUUUAGAACCGCAUGGUUCUAAAGUGAAAGAUGGUUUUGCUAUCACUUAUAGAUGGACCCGCGCCGUAUUAGCUAGUUGGUAAGGUAACGGCUUACCAAGGCGACGAUACGUAGCCGACCUGAGAGGGUGGACGGCCACAUUGGGACUGAGACACGGCCCAAACUCCUACGGGAGGCAGCAGUGGGGAAUAUUGCACAAUGGGGGAAACCCUGAUGCAGCGACGCCGCGUGAGUGAGGAAGUAUUUCGGUAUGUAAAGCUCUAUCAGCAGGGAAGAAAAUGACGGUACCUGACUAAGAAGCCCCGGCUAACUACGUG